CAAACGCGCGGGAUUUGCGACAUGCGCUCGCUGUCCCGCGUCGAUCGCUUCGCGCAUUGGUAGAUUAAAUCUCCCUCGAGAUUCACUGCUAAAUUUCCCCUGGCGAAUGAUGAUGUUGUCGCUGAUCGCAGAUGCGAGUAGAACGUAGGAACUGAGCACCGAACGAGCACGGGGAUCGUACGCGGACAACGCGGAUCGUUCAGCCGGAAAUCGCGAUCUCGAGUCGCAGAUAUACGAGACUCGUUCGGUUUUCGGAUUGAAGGUAGGCCGGGUAUGCGGCAGUCGAAUAUGUUCGAAACGUCUGAGCUCGAGACAAUUCGCCAGGUGUCGCAUUCAAAUCUACAAUUUCGAUGUGGGACUUGAAGAGAGAUGGGAACAGGGAAUGUAACGCAUGACGGUGGUUUAUAUUAUAACGCUAACACAACAGCAUGAAACGCAAAACGUAAAACGUGGCCGCGGUUAAUGGUAAAUAAAAUAAACGAAGACAAAUCAGAGUCCAAUGUGUCGUUUUUAUUCCUCGUAAAUAAUAAAUAAAAUAAUAAUCAAUAGAUCGAUCGUUAAAAUUAAAAUAUUAGUGACUCGUGACUAGGUUAAGACUCACCGCUUACAGAAACGUGUGUGUGUAUGUAUACGUGUACGUACGCGUGUCUCUUCUCUCUUUUCAUUUUCUUUUUUUCUUUUUUUAUUUGCUCCCUUUCUCUGUUGUGUACACUUGUAUAAACUCAUGCUUAAUUGUAAUGAUAAUCAUAAUAAUGGUAAUAAGAAUAAUGAUCAUCGUGGUACAAUAACUAAAAUACACAAUAAUAACUAAAAUGUCAAAACAUAGACGAAAAGUAUCGUUGAAUGAACGGGGUACGAAAGUGUUUUGAUAGAAGGGGUCUCAUCUUAACGUAAAAGGGAAAAUGGAAAUGCAAAAGGGACACAGGAAUUUACGAACAAGGGACAUCGUGUCGUUCGAUA
rnacentral:misc_RNA from 1 species